rnacentral:lncRNA from 1 species
CCUUUCUCCAUCUGACUCUUGGGUCUCAAGCAACCUCUCCACCAUAAAAUAGCACCAAUUAAAAGCACAAGAACCACCGUUGAAGCGAUUACAGCACCAACCACGGCCCCAAUAGAGGUUCCACCACCAGGGCCAUCCCCAAUAGAGGUUCCACCACCAGGGCUAUCUUCCUUUGGUGGAGUGAAAUCUAUAGCAAGAUCAUGGGAGAUAAAGUCAAGAGAGAACAACAACAAAAGAAAAC